rnacentral:rRNA from 1 species
CCUACGGGAGGCAGCAGUCGAGAAUCAUUCACAAUGGGGGAAACCCUGAUGGUGCGACGCCGCGUGGGGGAAUGAAGGUCUUCGGAUUGUAAACCCCUGUCAUGUGGGAGCAAAUUAAAAAGAUAGUACCACAAGAGGAAGAGACGGCUAACUCUGUGCCAGCAGCCGCGGGAAUACAGAGGUCUCAAGCGUUGUUCGGAAUCACUGGGCGUAAAGCGUGCGUAGGCUGUUUCGUAAGUCGUGUGUGAAAGGCGCGGGCUCAACCCGCGGACGGCACAUGAUACUGCGAGACUAGAGUAAUGGAGGGGGAAGCGGAAUUCUCGGUGUAGCAGUGAAAUGCGUAGAUAUCGAGAGGAACACUCGUGGCGAAGGCGGGUUCCUGGACAUUAACUGACGCUGAGGCACGAAGGCCAGGGGAGCGAAAGGGAUUAGAUACCCUUGUAGUC